GAUGAACGCUAGCUACAGGCUUAACACAUGCAAGUCGAGGGGAAACGACAUCGAAAGCUUGCUUUUGAUGGGCGUCGACCGGCGCACGGGUGAGUAACGCGUAUCCAACCUGCCCAUCACUUGGGAAUAACCUUGCGAAAGUAAGACUAAUACCCAAUGACAUCCCACGAAGACAUCUGAAUGGGAUUAAAGAUUUAUCGGUGAUGGAUGGGGAUGCGUCUGAUUAGCUUGUUGGCGGGGUAACGGCCCACCAAGGCAACGAUCAGUAGGGGUUCUGAGAGGAAGGUCCCCCACAUUGGAACUGAGACACGGUCCAAACUCCUACGGGAGGCAGCAGUGAGGAAUAUUGGUCAAUGGGCGAGAGCCUGAACCAGCCAAGUGGCGUGCAGGAUGACGGCCCUAUGGGUUGUAAACUGCUUUUAUAAGGGAAUAAAGUGGGUCUCGUGAGACUUUUUGCAUGUACCUUAUGAAUAAGGACCGGCUAAUUCCGUG
rnacentral:rRNA from 1 species